rnacentral:rRNA from 1 species
UUUAACGCUGGCGGCAGGCCUCACCCAUGCCAGUCGAGCGGAUGAAGGGAGCUUGCUCCUGGAUUCAGCGGCGGACGGGUGAGUAAUGCCUAGGAAUCUGCCUGGUAGUGGGGGAUAACGUCCGGAAACGGGCGCUAAUACCGCAUACGUCCUGAGGGAGAAAGUGGGGGAUCUUCGGACCUCACGCUAUCAGAUGAGCCUAGGUCGGAUUAGCUAGUUGGUGGGGUAAAGGCCUACCAAGGCGACGAUCCGUAACUGGUCUGAGAGGAUGAUCAGUCACACUGGAACUGAGACACGGUCCAGACUCCUACGGGAGGCAGCAGUGGGGAAUAUUGGACAAUGGGCGAAAGCCUGAUCCAGCCAUGCCGCGUGUGUGAAGAAGGUCUUCGGAUUGUAAAGCACUUUAAGUUGGGAGGAAGGGCAGUAAGUUAAUACCUUGCUGUUUUGACGUUACCAACAGAAUAAGCACCGGCUAACUUCGUG